rnacentral:rRNA from 1 species
CAGCCCCUCGAGUGGUGGGGAUGAUUAUUUGGCCUAAAGCGUCCGUAGCCGGCCGUGUAAGUCUCCCGUUAAAUCCAGCGUCUCAAGCGUUGGACUGCGGGAGAUACUGUACGGCUAGAGAGUGGGAGAGGUCAGCGGUAUUCUGGGGGUAGGGGCGAAAUCCUUUGAUCCCCGGAGGACCACCAGUGGCGAAGGCUGCUGACUAGAACACGUCUGACGGUCAGGGACGAAAGCUGGGGUAGCGAACCGGAUUAGAGACCCGAGUAGUCC